rnacentral:misc_RNA from 1 species
GUUUGCUUUUAUGAUGUAUCAUCUAAGGCUGCCAAUCAAUUGUAUGGGGUCAAGGCUCCCUCGGCUGCAAGGGCGCCGCCGCAUGUGCAAGCACACGAGCGGCCCACCGAGCUGCACGAGGGAACGCAAACGUUUACACAGGGUGUGUUGGAGAUUUGUUAAUGAUCCUUCCGCAGGUUCACCUACGGAAA